GCCCUCAGUGCUUAGCCGGUAGAGACAGCACCUCGAUCGGCUUGCGCUUUAUAAUUACGAAUGAAACGAUGCCUUCUUGUACGAGGAACCAAACUCACUAUCCGAGACACGAAAACGACAUUUAGAUUUCUGAUUUGAAAACGAUAACGCAAAAGUGCAAAGUAUUAUAAAAAAUAUGAUGCGCAAAGAUGUUACAUGCUUUUAAAAAUGUAAAUUCAGCGAAUUACUCGCAAUAAGAACACAUCAGAUUGUGUAUCUAUUCGCUGUACGUGUGAGAAAAAUGACGCGUAAGGGCAUGUCGGUAAUAGAAUACAACACAGUACACUCACAGUUAAAGGACAUUGCUGUGCGCAUAAAUUGAAUUCAGCAUUACACUGUGUGAAUAACUAUUUCCGUACUCCGUGAGUGUGUCGCGACUGACUUCAUGUGAGGAACAGCAGCCAAUAACCGGACAUUGGUGCUUUAAAUUCCGCCCCGGGCCAUUUAAAGUGCACAGCCCCGCGCUGUAGCGAAGAAAAAGGAAAAGAGUUUAUGGACUCUAAAGAAUGAUAUUUCUGGCUGACGCUUCAGUGAUAAGGUGGCACUGCCGGUCUGGAGAGAGAGAAAGGAGGCCGACCUACUAGACCAAAGGUGGAAGGCCUGACACUGUCCUCAACAUAGUCCACAUCACAACGUCUUGGUGACAUUGGAGACAAGAAACAAGAAAAAACUAAUUGUGUCUAUUGUGUCCACUUACAUUUAACAUUUGUGUGCGAGUUCUUGUUGGAGGGCAGAGAAAACACCAAAAGACUGAAAAUUUAAUGGUAUUUGUUGAAAAAAAAUUCCUGCUCUUUGCAAGAAUCGGAUAUCUCUGCUUGUGUGACUGUACAUAAUAAAGGUCACUGUGAUGAAACAACA